ACACGGUGAGAAGUCUUGUUAAGAAGACUUAAAACAUUGAACCCUCGCCGAAAGGUAAGAUCGGUAGUUAUCCAUAUUUAUCCUUUCUACAUUCCCUUUUCUCUUUAAUUAUUUACUUUCCUUAAAUAGAUUAUUAGUUAAUCAUGCUAUCUUGAAAAGAAAAUAGAAAUGUUAAAAAAAUACUAAGCCCCAUGUGAGUAUACGAGUGGCAUAAAACCCAUAAGUACCUUCACUGUGGUGGCAUAAAAAUAAAAUAAAUAUUUCUUUUCUGCGUUAUAAAAUAAAAAUAUCAAAACAGGGAGCAAUAUUUAUUGAGGAAGCUCAACAUGAUGAAGGCUAGAUAUUUAUGCUAACACUUAAUUAGUUCUACAAGCUUUGUUGUCUAUUUGAGCUCCACAGAAUUUAAGAAUCAAGAAGACUAGUAGACGGAGGACAUUCUAAUCGCUGUCAGAAUGCUGCUGACUUUCAAAUACACCUCUGCCACCUGCUAGCUACAUCAAGAGAAAUUACAUCAAAAUUCAGCUUGGA
rnacentral:lncRNA from 1 species